GGAAGGUGUAUUUAGACAGAGAGGGAGGUGUAUUUAGACAGAGAGGGAGGUGUAUUCAGACAGAGAGGGAGGUGUAUUCAGACAGAGAGGGAGGUGUAUUUCUAUGUGUCAUCUAGGUGGCAUUCCCAAGUCUGUGUCUAAAAUGUCAACUCAGUUUCCUUGUGGAAUGUUUGUUUACAGCCCACAUGUAAAUCGAGGGUUGGGAGUUACCACAAACUAAAGGCUUUCCAUGUAACACCUCCCACAUUCUGUAAACAAACAAACGGAGAGCUCGAGAGAGAGGAGCCGGAAGCAGGGAAUUCCAGUAC
ensembl:lncRNA